GUGUGAUGCAGUGACCCCCGCAAACUGCUUGUGUGUGUUGGUACCUGGGUACCUGACCCUCCUUCGUCAACUAUUGGCUUUGAUGUAACUGCAAUAACUUCAAGUUCAGCGAGUACCCCGCCUCUCGCCGGAAGAUAGCUGGAAUAGGCUCCAGUACGCCCGAGACCCUUGUGAGGAUAAAGCGGUCCAGAAAACGGAUGGAUGGCUGAACAGUUAAAAGGGGAACACGGUACGUGUCAAUGAUGUUGUCGCGGGGCAGCAGCCAAUGGGACACCUCCUCCUGGUUCAUGGCGGGCACCAGGUUGAACUGGCUCAGGUACUCGCGCAGGAGGCUGCAUACGGCCGGCACGUCCUUCUUUGUCAUCGGCCGCAGACCCGACGUCUUGGGGGCCUGCGGGUGAAGAGAGGGAGUGCAUGUCGGUCAGGACCCCCACCUGCAGGUGCCCACGGGUUUAGGCAGGACCACGCCGGCCGUGUACACUGCCUGAAAGAUGCCCUGCAGGUUGACGCGUCUGGUGAUCUCCCGAAUUAGGACCGGGGCCACUCGCUUGGCUCG